GGUCUCUUCAUCUAAUGGUUAGGAUUUGGCAUCUUCAUUGCCAUCAUGAUGGUUCGAAUCCGUCAGAGAUCA